CCUUUCCCUACCUGACGCUCUGCCGCAUCAGUCUAGUCAAGAUGAUAACUUUGCCUAAAUUUUUGUACCUUUUUCAAACCAUUCCCAUUUUUAUUCCAGGGUCAUUCUUUGUGAAGCUGGACUCCAUCAUCUCAUCUUAUUUGUGGCAGGGGAAGCGCCCAUCCUUAAGUAAGACACACCUUCAAAAAACUAAGGCCGCUGGUGGCCUCGCUCUGCCAAAUUUCUGCUUCUAUUAUUGGGCAGCAAAUUUGCGUUGUCUUGCAUUCUGGUCAUUCUGUUACAAUAAACCUGACUGCCCUGACUGGGUGGCGAUGGAGUC